UCCUACGGGAGGCAGCAGUGGGGAAUAUUGGGCAAUGGGGGGAACCCUGACCCAGCAACGCCGCGUGAAGGAAGAAGGUCUUCGGAUUGUAAACUUCUUUGAUGAGGGACGAAGUAAGUGACGGUACCUCAAAAACAAGCCACGGCUAACUACGUGCCAGCAGCCGCGGUAAUACGUAGGUGGCGAGCGUUGUCCGGAAUUACUGGGUGUAAAGGGCGUGUAGGCGGGGAUGCAAGUCAGAUGUGAAAUACCGAGGCUUAACCUCGGGGCUGCAUCUGAAACUGUGUUUCUUGAGUGUCGGAGAGGAAAGCGGAAUUCCUGGUGUAGCGGUGAAAUGCGUAGAGAUCAGGAGGAACACCGGUGGCGAAGGCGGCUUUCUGGACGACAACUGACGCUGAGGCGCGAAAGCGUGGGGAGCAAACAGGAUUAGAUACCCUGGUAGUCCACGCCGUAAACGAUGGAUACUAGGUGUAGGAGGUAUCGACCCCUUCUGUGCCGGAGUUAACACAAUAAGUAUCCCACCUGGGGAGUACGGCCGCAAGGCUGAAACUCAAAGGAAUUGACGGGGGCCCGCACAAGCAGUGGAGUAUGUGGUUUAAUUCGAAGCAACGCGAAGAACCUUACCAGGGCUUGACAUACAGACGGAUGGUGUGGAAACACAUCAGACCUUCGGGACGUCUGUACAGGUGGUGCAUGGUUGUCGUCAGCUCGUGUCGUGAGAUGUUGGGUUAAGUCCCGCAACGAGCGCAACCCCUGUUGUUAGUUGCCAUCAUUAAGUUGGGCACUCUAACGAGACUGCCGGUGACAAAUCGGAGGAAGGUGGGGACGACGUCAAAUCAUCAUGCCCCUUAUGUCCUGGGCUACACACGUACUACAAUGGCUAUUACAGCAGGAAGCGAAGGAGUAAUCCGGAGCAGAUCCCAAAAAAUAGUCCCAGUUCGGAUUGUGGGCUGCAACUCGCCCACAUGAAGUCGGAAUUGCUAGUAAUGGCAGGUCAGCAUACUGCCGUGAAUACGUUCCCGGGCCUUGUACACACCGCCCGUCACACCAUGAGAGUCUGCAACACCCGAAGUCAGUAGUCUAACGUUUUUUAACGAAACGAGGGCGCUGCCGAAGGUGGGGCAGAUGAUUGGGGGUGAAGUCGUAACAAGGUAGCCA
rnacentral:rRNA from 1 species